rnacentral:rRNA from 1 species
CAGCAGCCGCGGGAAUACGAGGGGCGCAAGCGUUAUUCGGAUUGAUUGGGUGUAAAGGGUGUGCAGACGGCUUAUUAAGUCACUUGUUAAAUUCUUCGGCCUAACUGAAGGUCUGCAAGUGAUACUGAUGAGCUAGAGGGUGGAAGAGAGAAGUGGAAUUCUCGGAGUAGCGGUAAAAUGCGUAGAUCUCGAGAGGAACACCAAUGGCGAAGGCAGCUUCUUGGUCCAUUCCUGACGUUCAUACACGAAAGCGUGGGGAGCAAACGGGAUUAGAGACCCCUGUAGUCCCUGUCUCUUAUAA